CCCUUAGAUGUUCUGGGCCGCACGCGCGCUACACUGACGAAGUCAGCGAGCAUCUCCUACGCCGAAAGGUGCGGGGAAUCUUGUGAAACUUUGUCGUGCUGGGGAUUGAUUUUUGAAAUUCUUGAUCAUCAACGAGGAAUUCCUAGUAAGCGCAAGUCAGCAGCUUGCGUUGAUUACGUCCCUGCCCUUUGUACACACCGCCCGUCGCUACUACCGAGUGAAUGGUUUAGUGAGAUUUUUGGACUGGAACUCUCUUGUUCAGCAAUGAACGAGAGGGACUCUGGGAAGCUAUUCUAACUGUAUCAUUUAGAGGAAGUAAAAGUCGUAACA
rnacentral:rRNA from 1 species